GACGAACGCUGGCGGCGUGCUUAACACAUGCAAGUCGAACGGAAAGGCCCUGCUUUUGUGGUGUGCUCGAGUGGCGAACGGGUGAGUAACACGUGAGUAACCUGCCCUUGACUUUGGGAUAACUUCAGGAAACUGGGGCUAAUACCGGAUAGGAGCUCCUGCUGCAUGGUGGGGGUGGGAAAGUUUCGGCGGGUGGGGAUGGACUCGCGGCUUAUCAGCUUGCUGGUGGGGUAGUGGUUUACCAAGGCUUUGACGGGUAGCCGGCAUGAGAGGGUGACCGGCCACAUUGGGACUGAGAUACGGACCAGACUGCUACGGGAGGCAGCGGUGGGGAAUAUUGCACAAUGGGCGGAAGCCUGAUGCAGCAACGCCGCGUGCGGGAUGACGGCCUGCGGGUUGUAAACCGCUUUCGCCUGUGACGAAGCGUGAGUGACGGUAAUGGGUAAAGAAGCACCGGCUAACUACGUG
rnacentral:rRNA from 1 species